CUUGAGGGUGCAGUGGGGGGGAGGAGGAAAAUGUGGCAAAAUCUCUGCAGGGGAGAAAAUGCUGCAAGAAAAUUCAUCAAGGAAUUGCAGUGGUGAGGCACAGCCUGGACCUGAUCCUGCCAUUUUUUUUCACGAGGAUCAAAAGGCCACUGAGAUUACCAAGCUUUCAACCUUCAGCUCCCCCAGGACUUGGAGGCUGAGGGGGUCCUGUAUUGCUUUGGCCAAGCAAUGAAAGUUUAUAGAGGCUUCUCAGUAGGAUGGGUGGAAGAAACACAGAGAGCAGGAAGCAACUGCUGAAACUGCCAGUGAUUAAAAUGCAAUAAAAUGUUUGCCUUCUGCUGCUGAGCAAGAAGUGUGGCAUGUGUUUUGCUGAGGCAGCAGAAGUGGUUGUGCUCACUGAAUGAGCAGCUAAUGAAAAGCAUUUCAAGCAGGAAGCAACGCUGAUGAAGAUUAUGAGCCUGCUUA